UGCCUACGGGGGGCAGCAGUGGGGAAUAUUGCACAAUGGGGGAAACCCUGAUGCAGCAACGCCGCGUGAGUGAAGAAGUAUUUCGAUAUGUAAAGCUCUAUCCGCAGGGAAGAAGAUGACGGUACCUGAGUAAGAAGCCCCGGCUAACUACGUGCCAGCAGCCGCGGUAAUACGUAGGGGGCAAGCGUUAUCCGGAUUUACUGGGUGUAAAGGGAGCGUAGACGGCAUAGCAAGUCUGAAGUGAAAGCCCAAGGCUCAAC
rnacentral:rRNA from 1 species